CAGAUUUACAAUCUUCCAGCCAUUCUGAGCAAGAAAGAAGAGACGUACCUAAACGAGGCAGGGUUUAAUUUUGUGAGGAAAUGUAUUGACUUGGUGGAGGUACGAGGGAUCAACACAUUGGGCCUCUACAGAAUAGGAGGGGUCAACUCUAAGGUCCAGAAGUUGAUGACCACUGUGUUUGGUAA